rnacentral:lncRNA from 1 species
AUUUUUAUCUUAUUUAUGUUUAGGCCACACCAAUUUGAUUCCUUGUUCGACGGACCCGCCCGCACCUAUUUUUUUUCAAAACAGAAUUUUUUUAUUUUUUUUAUAUUCCCGCUUCCCGCAUCCGGAAAUGUAAUCAUGUCCAUUUCCCGCACCGUUUUUUUUUUUUGUAAAUAUUAUAAAAAGAUAUCAACAUUCGUUUUAAAUCACAGUCUAACCUGUAUAUAAUGAUUUUAAACAUAAAAGCACCCCUCCACACUUUGUAAAUAUCUGUGAGAAUAUUUGUUUCAGCAUGAAACCUAUU